GAUGAAGAACGUAGCGAAAUGCGAUACGUAAUGUGAAUUGCAGAAUUCAGUGAAUCAUCGAAUCUUUGAACGCAUAUUGCGCUCUUUGGUAUUCCGAAGAGCAUGCUUGUUUGAGUAUCAGUAAACACCUCAAAGUCUUUUUUUUUCUUGUAGAAAAGACCUUGGACUUGAGCAAUCCCAACUCUUCUUUCAGAAGAGGCGGGUUGCUUGAAAUGCAGGUGCAGCUGGACAUUCUCCUGAGCUAAAAGCAUAUUCAUUUAGUCCCGUCAAACGGAUUAUUACUUUUGCUGCAGCUAACAUAAAGGGAGUUUGACCAUUUUGGCUGACUGAUGCAGGAAUUUCACAAGAGUCUUCAAAACGCUCUUGUUAAACUCGAUCUCAAAUCAAGUAAGACUACCCGCUGAACUUAAGCAUAUCAAUAAGCGGAGGA
rnacentral:misc_RNA from 1 species